rnacentral:rRNA from 1 species
CCUACAGGAGGCUGCAGUGAGGAAUAUUGGUCAAUGGGCGCGAGCCUGAACCAGCCAAGUCGCGUGAGGGAGGACGGCCCUACGGGUUGUAAACCUCUUUUGCCGGGGAGCAACGGGCGUCACGUGUGGCGCCACUGAGAGUAACCGGAGAAAAAGCAUCGGCUAACUCCGUGCCAGCAGCCGCGGUAAUAAGGAGGAUGCGAGAGUUAUCCGGAUUUAUUGGGUUUAAAGGGGGCGUAGGCGGAUCGUUAAGUCAGUGGUCAAAUUGAGGGGCUCAACCCCUUCCCGCCAUUGAAACUGGCGUUCUUGAGUGGAAGAGAAGUAUGCGGAAUGCGUGGUGUAGCGGUGAAAUGCAUAGAUAUCACGCAGAACCCCGAUUGCGAAGGCAGCAUGCCGGCUUCCGACUGACGCUGAAGCACGAAAGCGUGGGGAUCGAACAGGAUUAGAUACCCGAGUAGUC